rnacentral:rRNA from 1 species
GACGAACGCUGGCGGCGUGCUUAACACAUGCAAGUCGAGCGGAAAGGCCCUUUCGGGGGUACUCGAGCGGCGAACGGGUGAGUAACACGUGAGUAAUCUGCCCUUGGCUUUGGGAUAACCACCGGAAACGGUGGCUAAUACCGGAUAUGACGGGCUCCGGCAUCGGGGUUCGUGGAAAGUUUUUUCGGCCAGGGAUGUGCUCGCGGCCUAUCAGCUUGUUGGUGGGGUAAUGGCCUACCAAGGCUUCGACGGGUAGCCGGCCUGAGAGGGUGACCGGCCACACUGGGACUGAGACACGGCCCAGACUCCUACGGGAGGCAGCAGUGGGGAAUAUUGGACAAUGGGCGGAAGCCUGAUCCAGCAACGCCGCGUGAGGGAUGACGGCC